rnacentral:rRNA from 1 species
UGGGGAAUAUUGGACAAUGGGCGCAAGCCUGAUCCAGCAAUGCCGCGUGAGUGAUGAAGGCCUUCGGGUUGUAAAGCUCUUUCGCACGCGACGAUGAUGACGGUAGCGUGAGAAGAAGCCCCGGCUAACUUCGUGCCAGCAGCCGCGGUAAUACGAAGGGGGCUAGCGUUGUUCGGAAUUACUGGGCGUAAAGGGCGCGUAGGCGGUACUUCAAGUCAGGCGUGAAAGCCCCGGGCUCAACCUGGGAACCGCGCUUGAGACUGGAGAACUAGAGUUCGGGAGAGGAUGGUGGAAUUCCCAGUGUAGAGGUGAAAUUCGUAGAUAUUGGGAAGAACACCGAUGGCGAAGGCAGCCAUCUGGACCGACACUGACGCUGAGGCGCGAAAGCGUGGGGAGCAAACAG